rnacentral:rRNA from 1 species
CGCAAGCCUGACGGAGCAACGCCGCGUGUGGGAAGAAGGCUCUUGGGCUGUCAACCACUUUUCUCAGGGAAGAAGCACUGACGGUACCUGAGGAAUCAGCCUCGGCUAACUCCGUGCCAGCAGCCGCGGUAAUACGGAGGAGGCGAGCGUUAUCCGGAAUUAUUGGGCGUAAAGCGUCCGCAGGGGGCACAUCAAGUCUGCUGUUAAAGGCUGGAGCUUAACUCCGGUAGAGCAGUGGAAACUGGUGUGCUAGAGGGCGACAGGGGUAGAGGGAAUUCCCAGUGUAGCGGUGAAAUGCGUAGAGAUUGGGAAGAACACCGGUGGCGAAAGCGCUCUACUGGGUCGCACCUGACCCUCAGGGACGAAAGCUAAGGUAGCG